rnacentral:lncRNA from 1 species
CAGUAGUUGUGUGUUGUGGUCAGUAGUUGUGGUCAGUAGAUGUGGUCAGUGGUUUUGUGGUCAGUAGAUGUGGUCAGUAGUUGUGUAGUUGUGUGUUGUGGUCAGUAGUUGUGGUCAGUAGAUGUGGUCAGUAGAUGUGGUCAGUGGUUUUGUGGUCAGUAGAUGUGGUCAGUAGAUGUGUGGUUUAGUUGUGGUCAGUAGUUGUGGUCAGUAGACGUGUGGUUGUUGUCAGUAGUUAUGAUCAGUAGAUGUGUAGUUGUGGUCAGUAGUUGUGUGUUGUGGUCAGUAGAUGUGAUCAGUAGUUGUGGUCAGUAGAUGUGUAGUUGUGGUCAGUAGUUGUGGUCAGUAGUUGUGGUCAGUAGAUGUGGGCAGUAGUUGUGGUCAGUAGUUGUGUAGUUGUCAGUAUUUAUGGUCAGUAAUUGUGUGUUGUGGUCAGUAGUUUUGUCAGUGGUGGUCAGUAGUUUUGAAAAGUAGGUGUGUGGUUCAGUAUUUGUGGUUAUUAGUUUUGUGGUUGUGGUCAGUAGUUG